AUUGAACGCUGGCGGCAGGCUUAACACAUGCAAGUCGAGCGGGGGAAAGUACUUCGGUACUGACCUUAGCGGCGGACGGGGGCGUAAUACUUAGGAAUCUGCCUAUUAGUGGGGGACAAGAUCGCGAAAGGGAUGCUAAUACCGCAUACGUCAUACGAGAGAAAGCAGGGGAUCUUUAUGACCUUGCGCUAAUAGAUGAGCCUAAGUCGGAUUAGCUAGUUGGUGGGGUAAAGGCCUACCAAGGCGAAGAUCUGUAGCGGGUCUGAGAGGAUGAUCCGCCACACUGGGACUGAGACACGGCCCAGACUCCUACGGGAGGCAGCAGUGGGGAAUAUUGGACAAUGGGGGGAACCCUGAUCCAGCCAUGCCGCGUGUGUGAAGAAGGCCUUAUGGUUGUAAAGCACUUUAAGCGAGGAGGAGGCUCUUUUGGUUAAUACCCAAGAUGAGUGGACGUUACUCGCAGAAUAAGCACCGGCUAACUCUGUGCCAGCCGCCGCAGUAA
rnacentral:rRNA from 1 species